CAGUUCGGACUGUAGGCUGCAACUCGCCUACACGAAGUUGGAAUUGCUAGUAAUCGUGGAUCAGCAUGCCACGGUGAAUACGUUCCCGGGUCUUGUACACACCGCCCGUCACACCAUGGGAGCUGGUAACACCCGAAGUCAGUAGUCUAACCGCAAGGAGGACGCUGCCGAAGGUGGGAUUAGCGACUGGGGUGAAGUCGUAACAAGGUAGC
rnacentral:rRNA from 1 species